GACGAACGCUGGCGGCGUGCCUAAUACAUGCAAGUCGUGCGGACCUUGUUGAAAGCUUGCUUUUAAAAGGUUAGCGGCGGACGGGUGAGUAACACGUGGGCAACCUGCCUGUAAGACUGGGAUAACGCCGGGAAACCGGGGCUAAUACCAGAUCGUUUUUUCCUCCGCAUGGAGGAAAAAGGAAAGGCGGCUUCGGCUGCCACUUACAGAUGGGCCCGCGGCGCAUUAGCUAGUUGGCGGGGUAAUGGCCCACCAAGGCAACGAUGCGUAGCCGACCUGAGAGGGUGAUCGGCCACAUUGGGACUGAGACACGGCCCAAACUCCUACGGGAGGCAGCAGUAGGGAAUCUUCCGCAAGGGACGAAAGUCUGACGGAGCAACGCCGCGUGAGUGAAGAAGGCCUUCGGGUCGUAAAACUCUGUUGCCGGGGAAGAACAAGUGCCGUUCGAACAGGGCGGCGCCUUGACGGUACCCGGCCAGAAAGCCACGGCUAACUACGUG
rnacentral:rRNA from 1 species